ensembl:lncRNA
ACACAGUUUACUUCUGGGCUGAUGCUGCAUCCCUUUAGCAAAAGGAAGAACAGGCUUAUGGGCAGAUUGCACAAUGCUCAUGAGGUCAAAAGUAUACGAGCUGUGGGGGUAUCAGCACUGAGCUGUAGGGUAGGGAGAGGAAUGUGCUGAGAGGCUGCACACUGCUCUGGGAAAGGGGGCAGGUCGGUGCAGAGCUGGGCUCCACGGUUUGGGGCAGGCCUGGGAAACGUUGUUUUUGCUCUGCCUCUCCCCAAAAGCUGUAAAUGAUUCUUAUCCAUCAUUAUUAUGUCACUGUGCAUAGGGAUGGCCUAAGGGCCCUGCAGAAGCCAGCGAGCUGAUCCACAAAAAGGCGCCUGAAGAUCAGCUGUUUUUUUCUGCACCGAAAAGGAGUGGGUGAGAUCUGUAAAUCGCCAGAGUCAGAAGCAGUUUGGAGUCCUGGUGGCCUGAAACUGCAGUUUUCAGCAUCCGUCAUUUUUCUAACUGCUUCUCAGGAUCUGUUUGAUAUGAUUCUCUCAGGACUCUCUCAACCAUAACUGAAAAUUCAUUGAAAACCCAUUUUUAAAAUGAAGAUAUGGCCAGUUUCAAUAUCUUCUUCACUCAAAAAUUGGGGGGUAAGGGGUGAGGGGGUUGGAAACACUCCAAAACCUAUCUCCUGUGCAAAAUAGAAAAUGAUAGUUUCUUAGUUUUCAGUGUCUUUUCUCAUUUUGUAGCUUAGCAAAUUACGGGCUCAAAAGGCUUUUUGUUUUGUCAAUACAUGACAAAAUGAAAGAGAAAGGUCGGUACCCUGUUAAAAGAGUAUGUUUCACUUGACUAAAGGUGAUGGGGUUUAUAUGUUUAUUUUACUUAUUUUGACUUUGCAGAGGACCUGAAGUUUUGGCUUUGCAGCUUGCUUCAGGAUAUGACCAUUUUUCAAACUUACAAAAAUGUUUGCAGACAGGUUGUGUCCGAUUGGCAGCCCAGCAGCAAAACUUCUUGUGACUCAUUUAAGGAUCACAUAAACAGAAGAAUCCCUUUGCCUCAGAGUAAAAGUACCUCAGAGCCCCAUCUGGAGAACAUCGCCUGUCCCUGUCCCUGCAGGACCAUCCUGAAGUUCAACCCCAUGAGAUGCUUUAUGGCAGACACCUCUCUGACCUCCAGAGGGUACCCAGCACCAGCCUGGAUAGGAGUUUUUGGGAGAGAGGAGAGGUAAAUACAUGUGGGAGAGAAAGUGUGCAACUGAAGGGGAGAGAAGCUGUUGGAGAGUUUCGUCAUUCCCCUGUCUAGAAGAUAUUUCUCCAUUGACUCUAUUUAAAGUCAGCCCCAGGCUUGUGGGCUUAUAGAGCUUUUAGCAGAUGAAAGAACUCACUCAUCAGGCAGAGUUUUCUUACUUACUUUUUUUUUUUUUUUUUCCUCCCCAGCUCUCACUGGUCUGUUUUAAAGCCAUUUCAGUAAUUGUUGAAAACUGUCAGAUGCCUUUGACAGAUCAAUACCUUAGCAGGGAAUUUACAUGACCUGUUCGCCAAUCAAAAUGCAAAUUGGGGAUACGUUUAAAGCACGAGCCCCCAAUUUGUCUUCCAAACGCUGCUGGAACGUCAUGAAAGCAAUUUAGCUGUGCCUGGGACUGCACCUUGUCUCGAGGCUCACUUCUGGCGAUGCCGCUGUGCUUUUUUUUUCUUUUUUUUUUUUGCCAGGCAGGAAUGUGCGUGUGUGCAUGUGUGUGUAUGCAUGCUACGGGCGUCGUUUCCAAGUCAGGAAUAUAAAUCUUCCUCUCGGACUGAGUGAGAUUUAUAGCUCUGCCACGGGGCUCCCGGCACCUCCCAGCCCCACACCUCUGCUUGGGAUCGGGGCAGGCGUGGGGAUGGGACAUUGGAACGGGGACGGCUCUGGCUUCCCUGCUCCUGCCUCGCUUCUCCUCUUUUUUCCAGAUGGCAUUAGGGUUUGGAGACAGAGCAGAGGCUUGUGCCAACAGCUCACACUGCAGCAAUAAUGAGAGCCAUUUAACGAAGGUUGAGUCAACAAAAACAUGCUUCCCUCUCAACAAAUAAAUGCUUUUAUUCCUCCUUCUUGUUUUUCGCG